UGCAUCAUUUUAUGUAUUUAUUCAUUCUUAAAGCAGAAGAGAAAACUCACUAUUGAUCAGACUCUACCUCCUCAUCCUCUGCGCUGUUUUUACUCCAGGUAACACGAAGCAGAUCCGUCUGGUCCAGUCCGGUCUCAGUGUUUCUCUCCAUGUCUUCUGUUGUCUGUAUGGUGAUGAUGUAUUGCUGCCCUUCAGGGAAGGCAGUAGGUUGUAUAGUUAUCUCCUGAUUGGGCAAAAUCACUACCCUGAAACCACACAACCUACUACCUCACCCCGUUCGAACAUCAGAGAGAUCCCAAUGAACGAUUUCUUCUGUAUUUUCAUAUCAUAAAUCCUCAUACCUACUGUAUAUCUGCCAUCUACCCCACUGAGAAAUAGACGGCUAUUAGACAUCUAGUUUUUUUAGAAGACCUGAUUUCAACCUUCUAGAUUCUGUAUAUUUUUAGAUUGAGUUUAGACGUUGCACUUUAACCCAUUAUUCAAUAACUAUUUACUUCAAAAAGCAACUGUGAGCAUAACUGAUCUCCGAGUACUAAACCAAAAUAAUUAUGAUAGCCAUUGAGCAACAUACAGUUCGACCUCUGUUAGCCGCCUAGUCUAAACUUGGUCUAAAGACCAAGACAAUUAAAAAACGUAAAUUUUUAGAGCUGUGGUAGCCUGAUUUUAGACCAGUCGUCUAGGCUACAUUUAGACAUCUAUUAGACCUCUUUUAGACCAAAAAAUGCUCAGUGGGACUUUACAUAGACAGAGGCUAGGUCAAGUAUUUUUUAAAAUACAUGAAAAAUAGACAGAACUUUAAAAAAAUAUAUAAAAAAGGAUGAAAAGUUGAAAGAUUCAUUGAAAAAGUUGGAAAGACAGAUUACAAAGCUCCGAAAAUAUGAACCAAUUACGGGAUCAGAUUGAUAUCAAUAUGUGACUAUUUGAUGAUGUUCUCUUUCGAUACAAGGAGAACCAACAAAUCACAAAAACAUACCUUAAAAAAUACUGAAGUGAGGAGUUCUUAAGUAGUAGUAAAACAGAUAUUAACAAUGAUGCCUCUUUGUGAGCUAACAAAUCAAACAAGAUUAACGAUCCUUGUAUUGUAAUUUCUAAUGCCUGUAACUGCUGAUGACUGACAGUGAUGAAGAACGUUUUCUUAAAUGUACAAAGUGAGAGAUACAUUUUGCUGAUAAAAGAAAGAAAGAUUAGAUUUUUAACCAGAAAAAAACACUCUGAACAUAUACAGAGGACAAGAAAAACAAAGACAGGAGAGUCACUUAGUCCAAAGGAGGCACUAAAAUUAACACAAAUAUUAAAAGCCUCGGCCUUCUAGAGUCAAAAUGCGACAGCUCCGUAAGUUCAUUUUUCUGUGGGUUAACAGGCCCAUUCCAGUGCUGAUCCAGGUCCAAAAGUUCCAACACUUGCAUCUGAUGACAUUACAGCCACUUCAGGAAAGACAGUAAGUUGUAUAGUUAUCUGACAGGAAGGGUACAACCCCAAAACUAUACAACCUACUACCUCACCCCAAAGGACAGUCUUUUGAAAAAACAAAAGUCUCCUCAGGUCCCCGUUUAGGCAGGUAAUCCUCUUUGACACACCUCAGUGAAUACAAAACAGAGGUUAUGAUUCACAGACACACAAAUACACACGCCACUCUCCUCUGGGACGCCUCACCGGUGUGACGGGACACGUUGUGUUCUGAACACAAUGAGACAGACGGGUCAGUAGGUUCACAGAUAAGGGUUAGGGGGGGAUUCAAAUGAUCCAAUAAGGGACAUACUUCCUAAACAAAUAGCAACGCCAAAGCAUUUCCAUAUUCUAAUGUGACCUAUAUGCAACUCGAGGGUUCUGUGACAUUCAUGUGAAGGAAUUAAUGGAAACAUUUGGACCUUGAAACAACCAAACUGUACUGUUAUUUUCAUUAAAUAUCAUUUCAAAUAUCUAAGAGCAUAUUUUGAUCAGUUUUUGGUCAGGAUGUGGUAAAAAAAAGGCUGUUUUAACACUCUUAACAUACAAUUUCUUGAAUGAGUUUAUAUUUUAUUCAACAAGCUUUUCCUUAAAAAAAAUCUUGCAAUACAGACCAAAUAUCUGUCGAGAUAUAUUGUCAGGUCACAUUUAAAUCUGAAUUUGACAGGUUAAUGUGGUUUACAUGAAGUAAAAUAGGAUUUUUCACUAGUAAUGAUGCGGAUAUAUCCUGAGAUCAAGAUUGCUUCAGUGCCUGUGUAUGAUCUGGAACAGCCUCAAACUCGAACCUUUCUGGUCAUUUGUACAUGGGUUUGUCCUCUCCAACUAUUGGUGCUUUCUUAGCUUGAGCAGGUUCAAACUUUCCUUCAUACUUCUGUAAAACAUUUUGCUUUUUCUACUCCAGGUGGUUCAAAAAUUAAGGGUACAAUCCCCUGAUCACACACCUCAUAGAUAACUGAUAUAGUUCUGAGUGUUAAACUGGUAGAAAUCAUAUAGAAGCUUCACAGAACCUGGGACACUCUGAUGAACUCUGUGAAGUGUUUAUCUGACCUGGAUCUCUGCAUUUAUGUCUCCUGAGGUGGUCUUCACUAUAAACGUGUUCAAGCUGCAGAAUAAAAUGCACUUUUUACCUCUUUAAAAUGCUAAAAAUGACUCAGUUAUUAAGGUAUUUAACCCUUUAAGUCCUUACAAACGAUGAUAUGGGGCUGCAUGCAGGAAUUGGGUCAGAAACUUUUGGAAG